UACAGAGGGGGCAAGCGUUGUUCGGAAUUACUGGGCGUAAAGCGUGCGCAGGCGGCUUUGCAAGACAGAUGUGAAAUCCCCGGGCUUAACCUGGGAACUGCAUUUGUGACUGCAUGGCUGGAGUGCGGCAGAGGGGGAUGGAAUUCCGCGUGUAGCAGUGAAAUGCGUAGAUAUGCGGAGGAACACCGAUGGCGAAGGCAAUCCCCUGGGCCUGCACUGACGCUCAUGCACGAAAGCGUGGGGAGCAAACGGG
rnacentral:rRNA from 1 species